rnacentral:rRNA from 1 species
UGGGGAAUUUUGGACAAUGGGGGAAACCCUGAUCCAGCCAUCCCGCGUGUGCGAUGAAGGCCUUCGGGUUGUAAAGCACUUUUGGCAGGAAAGAAACGUCAUGGGUUAAUACCCCGUGAAACUGACGGUACCUGCAGAAUAAGCACCGGCUAACUACGUGCCAGCAGCCGCGGUAAUACGUAGGGUGCAAGCGUUAAUCGGAAUUACUGGGCGUAAAGCGUGCGCAGGCGGUUCGGAAAGAAAGAUGUGAAAUCCCAGAGCUCAACUUUGGAACUGCAUUUUUAACUACCGCGCUAGAGUGUGUGAGAGGGAGGUGAAAUUCCGCGUGUAGCAGUGAAAUGCGUAGAUAUGCGGAGGAACACCGAUGGCGAAGGCAGCCUCCUGGGAUAACACUGACGCUCAUGCACGAGAGCGUGGGGAGCAAACAGG